CAAUAGCGUAUAUUAAAGUUGUUGCAGUUAAAAGCUCGUAGUUGGAUUUCUGGCAGGAGCGACCGGUCGCACGCUAUGCGUGUGAACUUGUGUUGUCUCUGGCCAUCCUUGGGGAGAUCCCGUUUGGCAUUAAGUUGUCGGGCGGGGGAUACCCAUCGUUUACUGUGAAAAAUUAGAGUGUUUAAGCAGGCUUAUGCCGUUGAAUAUAUUAGCAUGGAAUAACACUAUAGGACUCCUGUCCUAUUUCGUUGGUCUCGGGACGGGAGUAAUGAUUAAGAGGAACAGUUGGGGGGCAUUCGUAUUUCAUUGUCAGAGGUGAAAUUCUUGGAUUUAUGAAAGACGAACUUCUGCGAAAGCAUUUGCCAAGGAUGUUUUCAUUAAUCAAGAACGAAAGUUGGGGGCUCGAAGAUGAUUAGAUACCG
rnacentral:rRNA from 1 species